CUGUGUAGUGCGAUGUGGGGACGGAGAAGGUUAACUCAUCCGGGUGUUGGAUGUCCCGGUUCAAGCCUGUAGUCGUGCCUGGUAGGUAAAUCCGCCGGGCUUAGAUGAGGGGUGAUAACGAGGCGGCUUGCCGCCGAAGUGAGUGAUACCCUGCUUCCAGGAAAGGCCACUAAGCUUCAGCUACACACGACCGUACCGCAAACCGACACUGGUGCGCGAGAUGAGUAUUCUAAGGCGCUUGAGAGAACUCAGGAGAAGGAACUCGGCAAAUUGGCACCGUAACUUCGGAAGAAGGUGUGCCUUUAGUAGGUGAAGUCCCUGCGGAUGGAGCCCAAUGAGGUUGCAAAAAAUCGGUGGCUGCGACUGUUUAAUAAAAACACAGCACUCUGCUAAGACGAAAGUCGACGUAUAGGGUGUGACGCCUGCCCUGUGCUGGAAGAUUAAAUGAUGGGGUGCAAGCUCUUGAUUGAAGUCCCAGUAAACGGCGGCCGUAACUAUAACGGUCCUAAGGUAGCGAAAUUCCUUGUCGGGUAAGUUCCGACCUGCACGAAUGGCGUAACGAUGGCCACACUGUCUCCUCCUGAGACUCAGCGAAGUUGAAAUGUUUGUGAUGAUGCAAUCUCCCCGCGGAAAGACGGAAAGACCCCAUGAACCUUUACUGUAGCUUUGUAUUGGACUUUGAACAGAUCUGUGUAGGAUAGGUGGGAGGCUUUGAAGCAGGGUCGCUAGAUCUUGUGGAGCCAACGUUGAAAUACCACCCUGGUGUGUUUGAGGUUCUAACCUAGGUCCAUUAUCUGGAUCGGGGACAGUGCAUGGUAGGCAGUUUGACUGGGGCGGUCUCCUCCCAAAGCGUAACGGAGGAGUUCGAAGGUACGCUAGUUACGGUCGGUCAUCGUGACGAUAGUGCAAUGGCAUAAGCGUGCUUAACUGCGAGACUGACAAGUCGAGCAGAUGCGAAAGCAGGACAUAGUGAUCCGGUGGUUCUGUAUGGAAGGGCCAUCGCUCAACGGAUAAAAGGUACUCUGGGGAUAACAGGCUGAUACCGCCCAAGAGUUCAUAUCGACGGCGGUGUUUGGCACCUCGAUGUCGGCUCAUCUCAUCCUGGGGCUGUAGCCGGUCCCAAGGGUAUGGCUGUUCGCCAUUUAAAGAGGUACGUGAGCUGGGUUUAAAACGUCGUGAGACAGUUUGGUCCCUAUCUUCCGUGGGCGCUGCAGAUUUGAGGAAGCCUGCUCCUAGUACGAGAGGACCGGAGUGGACAUACCUCUGGUGUAUCGGUUGUCACGCCAGUGGCAUUGCCGAGUAGCUAAGUAUGGAAGAGAUAACCGCUGAAAGCAUCUAAGCGGGAAACUCGUUUCAAGAUGAGAUCUGCCGGGGCCUUGAGCCCCCUAAAGAGUCGUUCAAGACCAGGACGUUGAUAGGUCGGGUGUGGAAGCGCAGUAAUGCGUUAAGCUAACCGAUACUAAUUGCUCGUGCGGCUUGACCCG
rnacentral:rRNA from 1 species